rnacentral:rRNA from 1 species
UGGGGAAUAUUGCACAAUGGGCGAAAGCCUGAUGCAGCGACGCCGCGUGAGGGAUGACGGCCUUCGGGUUGUAAACCUCUUUCAGCAGGGACGAAGCGCACGUGACGGUACCUGCAGAAGAAGCACCGGCUAACUACGUGCCAGCAGCCGCGGUAAUACGUAGGGUGCAAGCGCUGUCCGGAAUUACUGGGCGUAAAGAGUUCGUAGGCGGUUUGUCGCGUCGUUUGUGAAAACCAGCAGCUCAACUGCUGGCUUGCAGGCGAGAGGGGAAGAAUUGAGUACUGCAGGGGAGACUGGAAUUCCUGGUGUAGAGGUGAAAUGCGCAGAUAUCAGGAGGAACACCGGUGGCGAAGGCGGGUCUCUGGGCAGUAACUGACGCUGAGGAACGAAAGCGUGGGUAGAGAACAGG